UUUUUUUUUUUUUUUUUGAGACAGAGUUUCGCUCUGUUGCCCAGGGUGGAGCACAGUGGCUUGAUCUCAGCUCACUGCAAGCUCCACCUCCCAGGUUCACGCCAUUCUCCUGCCUCAGCCUCCUGAGUAGCCGGGACUACAGGCACCCACCACUGCGCCCAGCUAAUUUUUUUGUAUUUUUUUUUUUUUAGUAGAGACGGCAUUUCACCAUGUUAGCCAGGAUGGUCUCGAUCUCCUGACUUCAUGAUCCGCCCACCUCGGCCUCCCAAAGUGCUGGGAUUACAGGGGCGAGCCACUGCGCCCAGCCUGAUCAUUUGUUUCUAACAAUCUGGGGGCUCGUCCGGAAUUCCCAUUCUCCUCUGAGAAAAGGGUCUCCAGUCACCAAUAGUGAGGAGAAGCAUCCCACUGCCUCAUUGAGGUGGCCUCAUGGUGAGGGAUCAGGACCCACCCAGUGUGAUGAAUAAACCCGGACUCUCAGCAGUCUGGAAAGGAACAGACCAACAACUUAAGAGAAAAGGAUCCUCACAUACCAUGGUGACCAGGACUAAAGGCCUCUUGGCACAUACACCACCCCUUGAAUUUCCAGUUCACCACCACCAGCCCGGACAGUGACCACAUUCUCAUCAAAGGUCAGAAAGAAAGGAAGCUCAAGCCCACCUGGGAGGGACAUUAUCUAGUGUUUCUAAUGACUGAGACAGCCGUCCACACCACUGAAAAAGAAUGGACUCACCAUACCUGAGUCAAAAGAGCACCACCCACUCCAGAAUCAUGGACAGCUAUUUCAGGGCCAAUUCCAACCAAGUUAAAGCUAAAACGGGUUUGAUCCUC